rnacentral:rRNA from 1 species
GGGGAAUAUUGGACAAUGGGCGAAAGCCUGAUCCAGCAAUUCCGAGUGAGUGAUGAAGGCCUUAGGGUUGUAAAGCUCUUUUAGCAAGGAAGAUAAUGACGUUACUUGCAGAAAAAGCCCCGGCUAACUCCGUGCCAGCAGCCGCGGUAAGACGGAGGGGGCUAGCGUUGUUCGGAAUUACUGGGCGUAAAGAGUGCGUAGGCGGUUUAGUAAGUUGGAAGUGAAAGCCCGGGGCUUAACCUCGGAAUUGCUUUCAAAACUACUAAUCUAGAGUGUAGUAGGGGAUGAUGGAAUUCCUAGUGUAGAGGUGAAAUUCUUAGAUAUUAGGAGGAACACCGGUGGCGAAGGCGAUCAUCUGGGCUACAACUGACGCUGAUGCACGAAAGCGUGGGGAGCAAACAGGAUUAGAUACCCUGGUAGUCCACGCCGUAAACGAUGAGUGCUAGAUAUCGGAAGAUUUUCUUUCGGUUUCGCAGCUAACGCAUUAAGCACUCCGCCUGGGGAGUACGGUCGCAAGAUUAAAACUCAAAGGAAUUGACGGGGGCUCGCACAAGCGGUGGAGCAUGCGGUUUAAUUCGAUGUUACGCGAAAAACCUUACCAACCCUUGACAUGGUGGUCGCGGAUCGCAGAGAUGCUUUUCUUCAGCUCGGCUGGAUCACACACAGGUGUUGCACGGCUGUCGUCAGCUCGUGUCGUGAGAUGUUGGGUUAAGUCCCGCAACGAGCGCAACCCUCAUUCUUAUUUGCCAGCGGGUAAUGCCGGGAACUAUAAGAAAACUGCCGGUGAUAAGCCGGAGGAAGGUGGGGACGACGUCAAGUCAUCAUGGCCCUUACGGGUUGGGCUACACGCGUGCUACAAUGGUGUUUACAGAGGGAAGCAAGAUGGCGACGUGGAGCAAAUCCCUAAAAGACAUCUCAGUUCGGAUUGUUCUCUGCAACUCGAGAGCAUGAAGUUGGAAUCGCUAGUAAUCGCGGAUCAGCAUGCCGCGGUGAAUACGUUCUCGGGCCUUGUACACCCGCCCGUCACACCAAAGGAGUUGGUUUUUUUUUAGGGGUCAAAUAAAAACAAGGGAGCCAACCAGGGUUUGCAGUUCUGUUCCGUCAGCCGCUACAUUCCAGAAAAGAGGC